rnacentral:rRNA from 1 species
UACGAGGGGGGCGAGCGUUGUUCGGAAUUAUUGGGCGUAAAGGGUGCGUAGGCGGCCUGACAAGUCUGAUGUGAAAUCCCUGGGCUCAACCCAGGGCCUGCAUCGGAAACUGUCGGGCUUGAGUAUGGGAGAGGUGAGUGGGAUUCCUGGUGUAGCGGUGAAAUGCGUAGAUAUCAGGAGGAACACCUGUGGCGAAAGCGGCUCACUGGACCAUAACUGACGCUGAUGCACGAAAGCUAGGGGAGCAAACAGG